CUUCUAUAGGGUGACACCAAAACGAGCCGCACACUCACAUGCACCCCCAUCCCCUGACAUGAAAAUGCCUGGUCCACGGCUGCGUCCACACCCCCUCCUCCCAGGCCCCGCCUCCUAAAGCCCGACACUCUCACCUGUCAGUGAGAUCAGCAGGCAGCAGCCACAGACCCGUGCAGGCAGUGCACUGGCCAGCCCUCCCCUCUCCUCCAGCGUCCACUCUCUCCUCACUCCGGGUCCUGACUGAGCCUGACACACACAAGCUCCGCCCCCAGACUGUAACUACACGAGCAUGUAGUUGCUGCUGAUGUUGCUGCAUGAUGUCAGCAUGUGUUGGAUGUCUACUCAUCCCGAAAUGAUAUGUGGCUGGCUACCCAGAUCGUAUCUACAGUAUAAGAAUGUUCAAGCGCAAAGAGGUUACAUAAGAGAUUCGUGGCCUUAGAGAAGAGAUGUUGUUGAUGUUAUUUCAUCAAAGAGAGAAAAAUGGCAUGAAACAUAAAGACAUCAAAUUAACUUAAUUUAAUUAUUUAUUCAUUUUCCUUUGAGAUUGU